rnacentral:rRNA from 1 species
AGAGUUUGAUCAUGGCUCAGAACUAACGCUGGCGGCGUGCCUAACACAUGCAAGUCGAGCGGUUGCCAUUUUGUAGCAAUACAGAAGAAGCGAUAGCGGCAGACGGGUGAGUAACACGUAACCAAUCUACCUUACCGUCCGGGAUAACCAACCGAAAGGUUAGCUAAUACCUGAUACGCCUAUCAGGCGGCAUCGUUUGAUAGUGAAAGCAGUAAUGCGCGGUUUGAGGAGGUUGCGGCCCAUUAGCCAGUUGGCGGGGUAACGGCCCACCAAAGCAACGAUGGGUAGCUGGUCUGAGAGGACGACCAGCCACACUGGGACUGAGACACGGCCCAGACUCCUACGGGAGGCAGCAGUGAGGAAUUUUCCGCAAUGGGCGAAAGCCUGACGGAGCGACGCCGCGUGCACGAGGAAGGUCUUCGGAUCGUAAAGUGCUGUCGAGGGGGACGAUUAUGACGGUACCCCUGGAGGAAGCCCCGGCUAACUACGUGCCGGCAGCCGCGGUAAUACGUAGGGGGCAAGCGUUGUUCGGAAUUACUGGGCGUAAAGGGUGCGUAGGCGGGUCUGUAAGUCGAGGUUGAAAUAUCCGGGCUCAACUCGGGGCACGGCCUCGAUACUGCAGAUCUCGAGUCGAGAAGAGGGUAGUGGAAUUCCCGGUGUAGCGGUGAAAUGCGUANAUAUCGGGAGGAACACCAGUGGCGAANGCGGCUACCUGGUCUUGUACUAACGCUGAUGCACGAAAGCUGGGGGAGCGAACGGGAUUAGAUACCCCGGUAGUCCCAGCC